rnacentral:rRNA from 1 species
UAAAGAAUGACAGUUAUGUUUUCAUUAGAGAAACUUGUUUUUUAAUCGUAAAUUCCCGGUAAUUUUAACUUCGUCUUAAAGUUUACAUACCGCCGUUACAAGAAAUUAAUAUAAAAACAACUUCACAAAAAUUCUCUUAAAAAAUCAGGUCAAGGUAUAACCAAUGAAAAAGUAAAAAUUAGUUACAUGUAACAAAAAAUUAAGAAAACGCUUUCUUAAAAAAGCAAGAAAUAGAAUCUAAUAACAAAAUAUUAUUAAAAAUAAUAAUUGAAAAACUAUAACGUAAUGUACACAUCGCCCGGUCGCU